GUGCUUGCUUUGGCAGCACACAUAUUGAAAUUGGAACAAUACAGAGAAGAUUAGCAUGGCCCAUACAAAGGCUGACAUGCAAAUAUAUAACUCCCAUCAGGUAUCA
ensembl:snRNA U6 U6 spliceosomal RNA